CAAAACUGACUGCGAGAACAAACCAGUAGCAUAAAACUGGCAAAAUUUCCCAGGUUGAACAUAUGUUCUGUCUGUUCUCAAACAGCUCUAUAAGCUGAUGAUCAUGGCUUUCAAGUAUCAAGUCUUCCACUGUCCGCGCCCUCAGGACCUGCUGUUCAUCUCAUACAAUCACGUCGACGCCAUCAGGGAAUUUGUGAAGGACAAAGUGGAUGAAACUCAGAUCAUAAGAUCAUUGAGGGAAAUCGUCUAUGACUGCAGGUGAAUUUCAGCUUCUCCGACAAACGCUGGUUACAUUCUUGCAGGACACACAUCCGUGUGUCAGUUUUCCUCAAAAACAAAAUCCAGAAUCCCAAUGGACGGUUCGCCCUGUCAACCACAGGCCCGGUGCCUCAUGGAAUGGAUGUUCCUGGGAUAAUUCGGUGAGAAGAUCAUCGUUUUACAGAAGAAUUUAUGUUAUUUAUCCCAAACGACCAUCACGUCUUUCAGGACAUUUGACAAUAAGGGGGCGAGAAAUGCAGCAGAGCAGGUUCUCCUCAGGUGUUACAGCCUCCUCAUAAAAGAUGCAUCAAUCGGCGGCCUACAUGGAGACAGAGUCAUCAAACUGGGCGUGAACAUGUCGUGCACCUAAAACCACGUUUUAUUUUUAUUUUUAAAUCACGCUACAUGUGUGGCUAACCCUUCUUUUCCUGUGUUUCUUCCAAAUAAAGGUACAGUGUACAUUUUGGAGGCAAAUCAUCCAAGGUUCCCACAGUGAAGGGAAUCUGACAGUAAAACUCUACACACUGGUUUUGUUAUCUUCAGUGCUUGAGGAAUGUCAAAUGUGAUCACAUUUAAAGCAUAUAAAUGUAAAUUCAAGGUAGCGCUACACCAAAAGCACAGUUUUGUAUGUACCUUGUUGCUGAACAGCCUGGGAGAUGCUGUUCAAAUGCUGCUGGAUGCUCGUGUUGUUGUCCCUUUAUUUAUUCAUUUAUGUAUUUAUUUUUUAAUUUGUUUAUUUAUUUAUUUUUUCAUUUAGGAAAAGUGCGCUUGUCCCCAAUUUUAAGAACAAAGGCGAUGUUCAGAACUGUGGGAAUUAUAGAGGAAUAAAGUUGAUUAGCCACACAAUGAAGUUAUGGGAAAGAGUAGUGGUGGCUAGACUCAGGACAGAAGUAAGUUUCAGCGAGCAACAGUAUGGUUUCAUGCCUAGAAAGAGUACCACAGAUGCAUUAUUUGUCUUGAGGAUGCUCGUGGAAAAAUACAGAGAAGGUCAGAAGGAGCUACAUUGUAUCUUUGUAGAUCUACAAGAAAGCCUAUGACAAAGAACCAAGAGAGGAACUGUGGUACUGCAUGCGCAAGUCCGGUGUGUCGGAGAAAUAUGUUAGAAUAGUACAGUACAUGUAUGAGGGCAGCAGAAAAGUGGUGACACGUGCUGUUGGUGUGUGAGAAGAAUUUAAGGUAGAGGUGGGACUGCAUCAGGGUUCCGCGCUGAGUCCCUUCCUGUUUGCGAUAGUAAUGGAUAGGUGACAGACGAGGUUAGACUGGAUUCCCCUUUGACCAUGGUGUUUGCAGAUGAUAUUGUGAUCUGCAGUGAAAGCAGGGAGCAGGUGGAGGAACAAUUAGAAAGAUGGAGGUACGCACUGGAAAGGAGAGGAAUGAAGAUUAGCCGAAGUAAAACAAUCCAGACCCACGGAGAGUGUGGUAAGGAAGUGAAGAAACGGGUCCAAGCGGGUUGGAACAGUUGGCGGGAGGUGUCUGGUGUUUUAUGUGACAGAAAAGUAUCCUCCAGGAUGAAGGGCAACAUUUAUAAAACAGUGGUGACGCCGCCCAUGAUGUACGGAUUAGAGACAUUGGCGCUGAAGAAACAACAGGAAGCAGAACUUGAGGUAGCAGAAAUGAAGAUGUUGAGGUUCUCGCUCGGAGUGAGCAGGUUGGAUAGAAUUAGGAAUGAGCUCAUUAGAGGGACAGCCAAAGUUGGAUGUUUUGGAGACAAGGUUAGAGAGAGCAGACUUCGAUGGUUUGGACAUGUUCAGAGGCGACAGAGUGAGUAUAUUGGUAGAAGGAUGCUGAGGAUGGAGCUCCCAGGCAAAAGAGCGAGAGGAAGAUGAGGUUUAUGGAUGUGGUGAGGGAAGACAUGAGGGCAGUUGGGGUUAGAGAGGAGGAUGCACGAGAUGGGCUUCAAUGGAAAAAGAUGACACGCUGUGGCGACCCCUAACGGGACAAGCCGAAAGAAAAAGAAGAAAGACUGCAGUGAUACUCAUGAUUGCCUGAUGCUGUUUAAAGUAACUAAACAUCACGUAACUAAACGUAAUGUAACUUAAAGUAACUAAACAUAACGUAACUUAACACAAAGCAUAUAGCAAGUCAUGAUACCCACUACAGAAGCUGAGCUGCACUGCGUUUGUUCACAGAAUAUGGCUGUGGGUUGAGUGCCAGGUCGUCCCGUGAACAUUCUUUGUGGGAACCCCAAUAAUUGCCUCAGCACACAAUGGAACAUAAUUAGUCCUGCCUUUGAUAAAUAUCAUUUCUAUUGUUCGUUACGAGGUGAAAAAAUUGUGGCAAGCUUUCAUAUUGUGAGGGCCAGAUAACUUUUUAUAGUUAUUGUGUUCCGCCAUGACUGCUCAUAUUUUCUGUCAUUGUGUAUGUUUCUUUCAGCUUGUCCCUUUCAGGGUUUCCCCAGUGGAUAUGAACCCACAACCCUGAUUAACCAAACCAGUGCUCUAACCACUGAGCUACGGGGCCUCACUCAUAAUUGUGUCACUCCAGUUCUAAUUUCGGGAUUUUUUCCAUCAACUGUACAGUAUGUAACAGUGAUGAAAGUCCUCCGGAUUUUUGUCUGAUGUUCCUGUUGCAAAUGUUUUGUGAGGAUUAACAGCGAGAUAUGAAUAGUUUAAGCAAAAAUAACUUACAGAAAGCUUUUUGUAACAUUAAUGGAAACUCGAGGCUUGCAACAGAAAUCAAAUUAUACAGCUAUGAUUAGUUUUUUUGUGUUUUGGAUGCAUGUUCCAUGUGACCAAUAAUACUGUAGUCACUAUGAAACUAGUAAUUAAAAGUGGGUUAAUAAUUGUUCUGUUUUGUUUUUUGC